GAAAUGCGAUAAGUAAUGUGAAUUGCAGAAUUCAGUGAAUCAUCGAAUCUUUGAACGCACCUUGCGCUCCUUGGUAUUCCUUGGAGCAUGCCUGUUUGAGUAUCAUGAAAUCUUCAAAGUAAAUCUUUUGUUAACUCAAUUGGUUUCUACUUUGGUAUUGGAGGUCUUUGCAGCUUCACACCUGCUCCUCUUUGUUCAUUAGCUGGAUCUCAGUGUUAUGCUUGGUUCCACUCGGCGUGAUAAGUUAUCUAUCGCUGAGGACACUGUAAAAGGUGGCCAAGGUAAAUGCAGAUGAUCCGCUUCUAAUAGUCCAUUGACUUGGACAAUACUUUUAUGAUCUGAUCUCAAAUCAGGUAGGACUACCCGCUGAACAUAAGC
rnacentral:misc_RNA from 1 species